GUUAACUAGGAGAGAUCAGAACUCUAUAAAAUGGUUGGCCAAAUGAGUUCAACUGCUUCAGCUGUACCAAAUAGUUGAAUCAACUGUUGUAAACCCAACUGCACGACAAUGUCUUUCUUCCUGACAUUAACAACCAUCUUUACACUGGCAUCGUCUGCGGUAAUAGCCUGCCCCACAAGUAACGAGAUAGAAGCCAUGUACUGCCAGGCGGAUGUCGUGUUUAGAGGACAGCCCACUUCCGGUUCAUCCAGUCUCUCUUUCGAUGAAAAUGGAAAUAAUGUUAGUAAUGGAAGACUAACAUUCAAUGUGGAACAAUUCUAUAAGAACAAUGGACAGUCCAGCGAAGUGGAUGUUGUGAGAAGCUAUUCAGAUGCAGAUCCCUGCGAGCCAAGCUUUCUCCCAGAAAGCACCGGCUCUUAUUUGGUCUUCGCCUCGGGAACAACUUUCCUUAGAGUUCCUCCCUGUGGUUACGUUUUAGGAGAGGAAUGCAUCCCAGACAAUCUGGAAAACACAUCAUGUUGAGAUGGGCCAUGCUGAACUUAUAUAAUGAUUAUGUCAGCGAUCAACUUCGCCUAGAAAUGUCUACCCCAAAGAUUUAUUAAAAGACAUCUAAGUGCUUCAUAGAUUUUGUUUGCGUUUUUGUUUAAUUUUAUGUAGUCAUAAUUAAUUUCCAUUAUUAGUUUUAUUUCGAAAGAGAAACUAACAAACCACAGUAACAAACUUAAAAGUUUUUUUUUUUUGCUAAAUGUGUAAUUGCAAUUGUAUUAUCUUACCAACCUUUAAUUAAAUCGUAUUUAUGAUA
rnacentral:sRNA from 1 species